CAUGCCUGAAUAUGGGUCCCAGCCUCUGGCGUGCUUUCUCUGCCUGCUAGAAGGAAAUCCAGAAAGGCUCAUGAUAUGUGCUCCCUUCGGGAUGCUCUUCACCACAGAGCCCUGAGGAUGAUAUACAGUCUGGACCUGGAGACAUCCUCUAGCCAGCAGACUGCAGAAGACCAUGGCAGGAGUCUGUGAUCAGAGAACUGAGGGCAGAAGAUGGAGAUGACUGUUUUAAAGUGGAAUCCUAUCAUGCCAUGCCAUGCCUGCGCGAACAGAGGAAACCAAGUGAUUCCUGGGACACCUGACACUGGGAAACACUGCAUGGAUGCAUGCCCAGCUGUUUCUGGACUGUGAGGCCACUGCCUGGCCAGCUCCUAAGAUGACCUAGUGUCCUGCCUGAGG